rnacentral:rRNA from 1 species
UACGGGGGGGGCAAGCGUUGUUCGGAAUUACUGGGCGUAAAGGGCUCGUAGGUGGCCAACUAAGUCAGACGUGAAAUCCCUCGGCUUAACCGGGGAACGGCGUCUGAUACUGGAUGGCUUGAGUUCGGGAGAGGGAUGCGGAAUUCCAGGUGUAGCGGUGAAAUGCGUAGAUAUCUGGAGGAACACCGGUGGCGAAGGCGGAUCUCUGGGCCGAUACUGACGCUGAGGAGCGAAAGCGUGGGGAGCGAACGAGG